rnacentral:lncRNA from 1 species
UCUUUUUUGUUGAUGGAAGGGAGAAAAAGGAGGGAAAUAAAAAUUCAAAUGUUUGACCAACAACAUUGAAGAUAAGAUGAUGGUCUUUAAAACAUGCAAAUUUGUUUUGUGGUACUAAUGGAGGUUUUAAUGUAACAUUAUUUACCAAAUAAUAUUGAAGAUAAAAAUCUUCUACUUUCAAAAUACCUUUCUUAUGUAUCAUAGUUUGAAUCUUAUGCUUCCAUGAUAUUUCUAAUGUCUUUAUCAAUGUGCUUGUGUAUGGAUUAAUAAAAAAUAACUCUUUUGUACAUUUAAACUAUUCAAAAAUAAGGCUGAGUGUAUACAUAUACUUCUUUUACAAUAUU